ACCGGCUCCAAACGCUGAAAGCUACAUUCGCAGAGCUAAAAUUCUUCAGUAAAACACAUUAUAAUACAACUAAAUCCAUAAUUAAUCAUAACAUUUGAACCACUAUCCUUCUACAUAAUCCAAGACCAUUGUCCAAGUCCAAGUAUCUAACUCUAACCCAUGAUAAAUACAAUUCACCAUGUUACACCCAUUGCCUAUAUCCUAAUGCAAAUGACUAUGGCCAAAGCGGAAACGAAACGGUUGUGACGUGAAGCUGCAAAUGCGAGCUUUCCAAACUUUCAUAGCCGAUAGCCAACAGCCAAAAGGCCAAGAAACGGAACAACAACCUGCCUUUCAAUUCUAAUCAACCUGCAUACUUUUCAACCUGCAGAAGGAAUGUUUUUAAGAGAAUGUUAAAUUCAUUCCAAAGUUCCAUUACAUCAUAAAUCAUUCAAAACCAUUAACUCACCACCAUCCGACAUUUCCAAUUAGCAC
rnacentral:lncRNA from 1 species